rnacentral:rRNA from 1 species
GACGAACGCUGGCGGCGUGCUUAACACAUGCAAGUCGAGCGGAAAGGCCCUUCGGGGUACUCGAGCGGCGAACGGGUGAGUAACACGUGAGUAACCUGCCCCAGACUUUGGGAUAACCCUCGGAAACGGGGGCUAAUACCGGAUACGACACAGCUUCGCAUGGGGUCUGUGUGGAAAGUUUUUCGGUUUGGGAUGGGCUCGCGGCCUAUCAGCUUGUUGGUGGGGUGAUGGCCUACCAAGGCGACGACGGGUAGCCGGCCUGAGAGGGCGACCGGCCACACGGGGACUGAGACACGGCCCAGACUCCAACGGGAGGCAGCAGUGGGAAAUAUUGCAAAAUGGGGGGAAGCCUGAUGCAGCGACGCCGGGGGAGGGAUGACGGCCUUCGGGUGGUAAACCCCUUUCAGAGGGGACGAGGCGUAAGUGACGGUACCUGCAGAAGAAGCGCGGGCCAACUACGUG